rnacentral:rRNA from 1 species
UCCUGGCUCAGAUUGAACGCUGGCGGCAGGCCUAACACAUGCAAGUCGAACGGUAACAGGAAGCAGCUUGCUGCUUCGCUGACGAGUGGCGGACGGGUGAGUAAUGUCUGGGAAACUGCCUGGUGGAGGGGGAUAACUACUGGAAACGGUAGCUAAUACCGCAUAACGUCGCAAGACCAAAGAGGGGGGCCUUCGGGCCUCUUGCCAUCAGAUGUGCCCAGAUGGGAUUAGCUUGUUGGUGGGGUAACGGCUCACCAAGGCGACGAUCCCUAGCUGGUCUGAGAGGAUGACCAGCCACACUGGAACUGAGACACGGUCCAGACUCCUACGGGAGGCAGCAGUGGGGAAUAUUGCACAAUGGGCGCAAGCCUGAUGCAGCCAUGCCGCGUGUAUGAAGAAGGCCUUCGGGUUGUAAAGUACUUUCAGCGGGGAGGAAGGUGCUGUGGUUAAUAACCGCAGCAAUUGACGUUACCCGCAGAAGAAGCACCGGCUAACUCCGUGCCAGCAGCCGCGGUAAUACGGAGGGUGCAAGCGUUAAUCGGAAUUACUGGGCGUAAAGCGCACGCAGGCGGUCUGUUAAGUCAGAUGUGAAAUCCCCGGGCUCAACCUGGGAACUGCAUCUGAUACUGGCAGGCUUGAGUCUCGUAGAGGGGGGUAGAAUUCCAGGUGUAGCGGUGAAAUGCGUAGAGAUCUGGAGGAAUACCGGUGGCGAAGGCGGCCUCCCCUGGACGAAGACUGACGCUCAGGUGCGAAAGCGUGGGGAGCAAACAGGAUUAGAUACCCUGGUAGUCACGCCGUAAACGAUGUCGACUUGGAGGUUGUGCCCUUGAGGCGUGGCUUCCGGAGCUAACGCGUUAAGUCGACCGCCUGGGGAGUACGGCCGCAAGGUUAAAACUCAAAUGAAUUGACGGGGGCCCGCACAAGCGGUGGAGCAUGUGGUUUAAUUCGAUGCAACGCGAAGAACCUUACCUGGUCUUGACAUCCACGGAAGUUUUCAGAGAUGAGAAUGUGCCUUCGGGAGCCGUGAGACAGGUGCUGCAUGGCUGUCGUCAGCUCGUGUUGUGAAAUGUUGGGUUAAGUCCCGCAACGAGCGCAACCCUUAUCCUUUGUUGCCAGCGGUUAGGCCGGGAACUCAAAGGAGACUGCCAGUGAUAAACUGGAGGAAGGUGGGGAUGACGUCAAGUCAUCAUGGCCCUUACGACCAGGGCUACACACGUGCUACAAUGGCAUUUACAAAGAGAAGCGACCUCGCGAGAGCAAGCGGACCUCAUAAAGUAUGUCGUAGUCCGGAUUGGAGUCUGCAACUCGACUCCAUGAAGUCGGAAUCGCUAGUAAUCGUGGAUCAGAAUGCCACGGUGAAUACGUUCCCGGGCCUUGUACACACCGCCCGUCACACCAUGGGAGUGGGUUGCAAAAGAAGUAGGUAGCUUAACCUUCGGGAGGGCGCCUACCACUUUGUGAUUCAUGACUGGGGUGAAGUCGUAACAAGGUAGCC